rnacentral:lncRNA from 10 species
GUUUAAGACUGGCCAUUACGUUAAGUAACACAGAGUGCCCAGACUAAUAAAUUUACAGCGUGCCUGUUUGUUUUACUGAAGAAUUUAUUGCAGCAGUAAUAACUGUCAAAGGGUGAGGCUGGUGAAAGGGCCAGAGCUACACAGAGGAUCUAUCACAUGAUCAGCUUCCUGACAGCCCUCUGGGGAGCUCUUUUGUCACCAACACAAGCACCUGAGUGGAUGCCUUGGAUCAACGGACAGGGAACUUGGGAAUCAGCUUCUUGGGGCAAGAUCACCUCUUCUAUUUGACCCAUAUGGAUCCAGGGGCCUGAGGAAUGAAGAUUAGAUUGGAUUGGAUAGGAUUGGAUUAGAAGCCUUGUGGAGUGGCUUGACACAUGGGUUUUGGAGGCAGCCUACCUACGGACAAAUGGUAUGAAGAAGGACGGGGAAAAGUGAGCUGGGGCAGAUGGAAGCCUCAAGUCUGACAAAGUGAAUCUUUCAUCCUCUUCACAAUACCUAGGAUGUCUUGUAUCCUGGGAGAUACAAGGCAUUUUUUUGUUGUUGCCUCAGUUUUUAAUGUUCAAAUGCUGCUGUGGCUAAGAGUAAGGCUGCAGAUUCUCUGUGCUGCCAUCUUGAAUUCCCACCUGCUCUCCCUCUUGGGAUCCUUUUGACCUCCACAAUAUUUAUCUGCUAAGAGACAAUGAGGCCAUGAGUCCUGCAGCCCACACUUCUUCAGACAAUUUAUAUUUUUGGAUGAGAUCUCCAGAAGGGCAUUGCUCACCUCUUCUAUAUUUUGCAAACAAUUCUAGAAUCUUAAUCAAAGAACCAUUGGCUACACAUUGGCUACACACUGGCUACAUUGCUCAAAAAGUUGGCAUUUUAGGGACAACGUACUCCGCUUGAGAUCCAAGCUGGUGGAGUUUUUCUUUGCUUAGUAUCCUCCACCAUCUAGGUUUUAAACUAGAUGUUGUUUGGCAGGUGUGUCCCAUAGCUUUCGGUUUGUGGUGGUGCUUCCCUUGUGUCAUCUUCUCUCUUAUUCUCAUUCCUUUUUAAAAAUGUUAUUAUUUUUGGUAGGUUUAAGAGUUGAGCAUCAAGCAAAAAUGUACUUUCUUAACCAUCUUCAAAUGAACAAUUCCUGUGACUUUUAGAUUAAGAGAGAUGAUAAUCUAGGGCUUCUAUAUCUCCCGAUUUUAAUUGUAAGACAGAUGCAAAUUUAGCUUAAGAAUUUAGGCUAAGAGCCAAGGGAUCGUAGGAUCAAUAUUUAUAUGUGGCCCAAAUAAGUUUUGUCAGGAGGAAUUUGAGCAUAACAAUGAUAAUAUUGACUAUAGCUGCUUGAAUGCCUAUGAUGGUCCAGGAGCUUGGUUGAUGCUUUGCUUAUUUCAAUUCAAAUCCAAACAAGAACCUGCAGCCCACACUUCUCCAGACAAUUUAUAUUCUUGGAUGGGAUCUCCAGAAGGACAUUGCCACCUCUUCUAUAUUUUGCAAACAAUUCUAGAAUCUUAAUCAAAGAACCACUGGCUACACAUAGGCCACAUUGCUGAGGUGAGGUUUGUUAACCCCAUUUUACCAGAGGAAAAAGAGAAAAGUGAGAAUAUGAAAGAUCAGGUGCCUGGAUGAUAAAUCACUGAGCUUGCAUUCAAAAUCAAGUGACUUUCACUUCCUGAUUCCUCCUCCUAUUUUUCUCUAUAGACAAUAUGUGAAGUCUAAAAAUAAAAUUUUAAUUCAGUAGAAGUUUCAGCAAACCCUAGUAAUUUCUUUUUCCUCAUGCCCUUUGCUUUGAGUUUAAUCUCUGUGGCUAUUUUAGCGGCACCUCAUGGGUACUUUUCCCUGGGCUCACUUAUUAUCAGUGUCCAUUCACUAACCAGUGUAUAACGGGAACUGUUAAGUGUGCCUGGAUGAGAAGGGGGCUUUUUUUGUACUUUUAUAGCUAUUAUUGAUGGGUUCAAUAAUUUGGUCUAUUUCCAAUCAAUAUGUUCUAUGCUAGGCUGAAGAGAACCAACUUCAAAAACUUUGUAAAGUUGAACUCUGGCCACAGCAUCCUUUCACUCACUCAGCAAUUGCAAAUAACACAAUGAGAGUGAUUACACACUGUCUUCAUCUUCACAUUCUCUCACUUCCUCAUGGUACAUCUCCUAACCCAGUUUCUUUUCUUGCUGUAUCUGGUGUCGGCUGAGGGGAUAACCUACCACCUGGUUAGGAGAACUGCCCCUCCAGCCCUCCUCUGUGUAUUGAUCUCCAGCAUUCAGUGGGUUCACAGGUGUCUGCCCGCAGAGUCUCUGCUUUGCUUUUGUCAUGGAGGCACGAUGGAAAAACCAAGGCCAAGGGAAGAAAAUGGCCUGUCCAAACUUCCUGGGUCAGGCUGGCUUAGUGUGAAUAAGGAAACCAGCGUCUGCACCCUCACAGCUGCACUCCCAGCCCCACCAAGGAAACCCAUCUUACUGUGGCCUGAGUGGUAGCCAUUUGAAGAACCUGACCCUCUGGGACUCAGAAUCAACCCCCGUGAUGACUUGUUUCAUGUCCUAGUUUGGGUAACCAUGUUUCUUCUUUGUUCUGGGACGCACACUCAUUUUUAGUUUUAGCUGAAGUUUCUGAGAGUUCUUAUGGAACUGACCACUACCUAAUUCCUUUAGGAAUGAGCUCUAUUCAACCUUAUUAUUUAGGACUAUUCCUUUGGCAGUGAAUUAAACUCAAUGGAGAUGGGCUUAAACUAGAUACAAGGAGACUUGCAGCAGUCCAGAGCUGUAAAGUCCAACGGUGCUUCCAGGGAGCUGCGUAGCAUUAUUCAGGCUUGGUUUCUUUCUAUCUCUCCUCCACGUUGGCUUUCUAUUUAGGGACUCUCUCUCCUUCUGGUGCCCCCUAAGCCAACCCCUAGUUUCAUCUAGUUGCUGGAACUAACUCAGCAAUAUCAUCAGAAAGAAAGCUUCCUUCCCCCCUCCAAAUUCCAGUGCUUUCUCCAUUGGACCCGAGUGAGAGUCACACUCAUCCCCAGGUAUGUGGGAAUGGGGUAAGUCAACCUCACCUGAACCAUAUGGACUGAGAGAGGAAGAGUAAAUUUUCCUAAGAGAAGUCAUGGAUGCUCGUUAUCAGAAAAAGGGGAGAUAGAGUUUGUGUGGGCAAACCAGCAGAUGCUCAAGAUGUCUCUCCUGCCCUCUCUCACCCUGGUUUGGCAUUCUAUCCCUGACUACCCUUGGCCUGGAGUCCGGCCCUGAAGGCUGCCGACAGACCUCUCCAAAUAUGACUGAUCUUAAACACUUUUAAGGAUUAGCUGUUCACUUUUUCUCCUUCAUAUUGGAGUUCUCCACCCUCCCUCUAACAGAGAUGGUCCACCUGGGUUAUCACCUGCUGUUGCUCUACCUUGUGACUCUUAACCAUGAAUAAUGGACAAGAAAGCCUCCCUGCAUGCUCUGCUAUCUACAGACAAAUGGUAUGAAGAAGGACAGGGGCAAAGUGAGCUGGAGCAGAUGGAAAUCUUCUAGUCUUUAUUUCAGAAAAUUUUAUUUUAAGACAGCAUUGAAUAGUUUGUUUGGUUAUUUUCUCCAGGAACACCAAUUAUACAGUCAUCCAAUGGCUCUGUCUGGUCCCAUGUCCCAUUCCUUCCCCGUUAACCCCAACCUGGGUCAAUAAAUGGGGACGGAUCCAACGGGCAUCAGAUCACGACCAAUGCCCCACAGCAAGUAAAUGGCUCCUCUGGGACUUGCAGCCAGUUCUCUAGGCUCACCUGCCCUUUGCACUAUUCCAAAGAGCCAACGACACUGGAAAAUCAAACAAAGAAAUUAACAUAAAGAAGCUCCGAGUGUGAAUAUGUCAGCCAGCCUACAAUCAGAAGAGAAGAAUCAAAAGCAGAAUCAAGGCUGCUAUUGGGCGUUGUCGUUAUAGAUGGGCACCCUCGUACUGCCAUCUGAGGAGCAAGUUCUUUGACAGAUUGCCAUUGCUUUCCUUGGUGUGUCUCUUGCUUCCAUCACUCUUUCUGCAAGAACCCGUUUGGCAUCUACUGCAUGUGAGGUCCUGUGCUGGUGCUGGGAGCGUGACGUUGAAGAGCAAAGCCAAAGUGGUUUCAAGGAGCUUUCAGCCUGGGAAGAGCAGCUGACACUUAUCAACAACCCCUCAUGUGGACAUUAGUUAUGAUGCAGAAUUGUUUUCUUACCUUGGUGCCUUCCAUUGCAUUGCCUUCCUCAUCUCCUAGAUGAUGAAUUUCUCUUGUAAAGUUCUGUCUUGCCUGUGAAAAUAACCCCAAUUGCACAAAGUAGGGGAGAUCAGCCUAAGCCCUGGGUCCUUGGUGGGUGCUGUGCACACCUCCGUGGAAGCACUCCCACAUUCUGUGGCAGUCUUACUGCCCCUUUGUUCAAUGGAGUGGCUUGUCCACACUAAGAGGGGAGGUAAGUCUGAUUCAGCACUGAAAACCCAGCACCAAUAGGGCAAGUGGCAUAAGUGAGAAUUCAAAAACGAUUUAUUGAUUGUAUAAAUUAAUAUCUGAUGUUUAAGGGAGUGAAUUUUCUUUUUCUGAAUUUACUAUGUAUAACCGACCUGAAUGAUAACUGUCUUCUCAUAAAUAAUGGAUAGCAGUCAUUUUAGGGGCUCCACAAAUCUCAGAAUUGAUCACAUUGCUCUUUUUCUGUGGCCUCUAGGAAGCUCAGAGCCUACUUUUAGCAAAAUAUGGAACCAUCUGGCUUGCAUUUUCAGUUACUUACCUAAGCAAUAGUUUUUUUUUCCUUCUUACUAUAGGAUCACACUGAUUUCUUUCCAUGCUAUUCUAUUCUAUAGAAUAGAAUUGAAACCACUUUUGCUAUGCUAUUCUAUUCCAUAGCAUAAACAUGGAAAGAAAGGAGAGUUAAUAGACAUCUUUUAAAGUGAUCUGGUUAUUAGAGUCAUCUGGGUGGCCGUACUCCUUAAGUUGCUUAGUCAUUGACUGCAGAGUCAUAGCAUAUUCAUAAAUGAUAACGUUCCUUCUCUUAUUCUCCCUGAGGGUCUCUUAGGCAAAAUACGGUAUUGUACACAAGCACAUUCAGAUAAAAAAUCCUAUAGUUGGUGAUAACUUCGAGUGAUAGAAUCUUAAUAAACUUCCUGUGUUUGAUUGGGUGAGAUAACUAGAGAUACAUAUCAUGUGUGAUCGCUGCACGACAGAAGAUAAGCUGGUCAUUAUUUUCAGAUAAAAAUGCCCAUCCAUCCACAGAUUGCAAUCAGGGGGCUGCCAUGCAGUUCUUGGUCUAUUCCAGUUAAUUAAAUGCUAAAUGAAAUUCAGAAUUCUGGCUUCUAGAGAUUCAACAAUCUGUUGCCAUGUGCUGCAAAGUCACAGAAUACAGUCCGAGAGCUUUCCUGAGGGGCUAGUAGUUGCUCAAGAAAUACUCAUUCCCUUCUGUUGAGAUCUCCUCUACAAAGCCAAAUGGGGUGAUGUCUGAGCCCUCUUCUUCCUCUGACAGAUGUGAGUGAAAGGUGUUUGCCAGUGGGGUGGGUGAGGGGUCUGGAAAGAACUCUGCGUCCCAUUCUACCUGCUGUGGGGUCAUCAUUCCUGAGCUCCCAUUUUGUGCGCUGAAAACAUGAAGCGUAUUUAGAUGAAAAUGAGAGAAAAAGAUCUAUUAUAACAAUUCUCUAUGUUGGAAUACUGUCCUGAUUUUUCUGUCUCCAGGAAUCAGAAUCAGGCAGUCUCUACUGGGCCUUGAUACCUACCCCUAACUAUAUGUAGUUUUCCGCUGAAAUGAGCACUAGCCAUUAUUACUGAGCACCUAUCAAUGUCAAGUGCUGAGCUAACUAUUUCAAACUCAAGUUCAUCCUCACAACAUCCCUACAUGGAAAGUAUUAUCACCCACAUGAUUCUGAAGCUCAGAAAUGGUAAGCAAGUUGCCUAGGGUCACCCCACUAGCAAGUGGUAGACCUAGGAUUCAUAUGUGUGCCUAUUUAAUUAAUAAUAUUAUUUAAAUAUUAAAUAACAAUUAAACCUACCAUUGGAAUUAUUUAUUCAAUAAAUACAUCAUUGAAUAUCAACUCCAUGCCAGGCACUGUACUAGGGGCUGACGUGAGAACUGUGUAUAGUUUGCAGUACUGGCUGCUGUCAUAUGAUCUAUAAAAAUAC